rfam:Corchorus olitorius cultivar O-4 contig02996, whole genome shotgun sequence.
UCCCCCGCGGCUCCUCCCUGACGCGGGUUCCCAUCGAUGGCUCGAUGGGGUCGUUACCCCCGUUGCGCGUUUGGCGACGGGGUUUUUUUU